CAGCCGCCGCGGUAAUACAGAGGAUGCAAGCGUUAUCCGGAAUGAUUGGGCGUAAAGCGUCUGUAGGUGGCUUUUCAAGUCCGCCGUCAAAUCCCAGGGCUCAACCCUGGACAGGCGGUGGAAACUACCAAGCUGGAGUACGGUAGGGGCAGAGGGAAUUUCCAGUGGAGCGGUGAAAUGCGUUGAGAUCGAAAAGAACACCAACAGCGAAAGCACUCUGCUGGGACGACACUGACACUAAGAGACGAAAGCUAGGGGAGCAAAUGGGAUUAGAUACCCCGGUAGUCCCUGUCUCUUAUAC
rnacentral:rRNA from 1 species